rnacentral:rRNA from 1 species
UACGUAGGGUGCAAGCGUUAAUCGGAAUUACUGGGCGUAAAGCGUGCGCAGGCGGUGAUGUAAGACAGAUGUGAAAUCCCCGGGCUCAACCUGGGAACUGCAUUUGUGACUGCAUCGCUGGAGUGCGGCAGAGGGGGAUGGAAUUCCGCGUGUAGCAGUGAAAUGCGUAGAUAUGCGGAGGAACACCGAUGGCGAAGGCAAUCCCCGUGGGCCUGCACUGACGCUCAUGCACGAAAGCGUGGGGGAGCAAACAGG